UGGGGAAUAUUGCGCAAUGGGCGAAAGCCUGACGCAGCGACGCCGCGUGAGGGAUGAAGGUUUUCGGAUCGUAAACCUCUGUCAGAAGGGAAGAAACCGCACUGUGCUAAUCAGCAGUGCCUUGACGGUACCUUCAAAGGAAGCACCGGCUAACUCCGUGCCAGCAGCCGCGGUAAUACGGAGGGUGCAAGCGUUAAUCGGAAUUACUGGGCGUAAAGCGUACGUAGGCUGCUUUGUAAGUCAGGGGUGAAAUCCCACGGCUCAACCGUGGAACUGCCUUUGAUACUGCUUAGCUUGAAUCCGGGAGAGGGUGGCGGAAUUCCAGGUGUAGGGGUGAAAUCCGUAGAUAUCUGGAGGAACAUCAGUGGCGAAGGCGGCCACCUGGACCGGUAUUGACGCUGAGGUGCGAAAGCGUGGGGAGCAAACAGG
rnacentral:rRNA from 1 species